rnacentral:rRNA from 1 species
AUUGAACGCUGGCGGCAGGCCUAACACAUGCAAGUCGAGCGGAAGAAGGGUGCUUGCUUGUGGAUACAGCGGCGGACGGGUGAGUAAUGCCUAGGAAUCUGCCUGUUUGUGUGGGAUAAGGUGCGGAAACGGGGGAUAAUACGGCAUACGUCCUGAGGGAGAAAGUGGGGGAGCUUCGGACCUCAGGCUAUUAGAUGAGCGUAGGACGGGGUAGCGAGUUGGUGGGGUAAAGGCCUACAAAGGCGACGAUGCGUAGCUGGUCUGAGAGGAUGAUCCGUCACAGUGGUACUGAUAGACGGGCCAGCCUCCUACGGGAGGCAGCAGCGGGGAAUAUUGGACACUGGGCGCGAUCCUUAUCCACCCAUACCGCGUGGGUGAAGAAGGCCUUCGAGUUUUAAAGCCUUUUUGUUGAGAAAGAAAAGCAGCAGGUUAAUACCCCGCUGUUCUGACGGUACCCAAAGAAUAAGCACCGGCUAACUUCCUG